CAUAGGAUACUCUGAGUUGGAAGGGACCCACAAGGAUCAUUGAAAUCCAACUCCUAGUCCCGCACAGGACAUCCAAGAAUCCCACCACGGGCCUGAGAGCAUUGUCCAAAUGCUUCUUGAACUCUGUCACGCUUGU